ensembl:lncRNA SNHG31 small nucleolar RNA host gene 31
AAGCCCCUCUGGGCUGCCUGGACGGAUGAAGUCCAGGUGGAAAGCCAGUCGACGUUUCCCGGGAGCUACGACUCCAGGGACCCUCAUCCGAGCUUAACCGUUGGAACAAUCACAAACCCAGAAACUUUUAGCUGAGUGUUAUUUAUAAAAAGCGCUGUUUUGACUGCUGUUGGACUUGGAAAAGCUUUGCCCACGAUACUGAAGCGUAAUUAGCUGCCUACUUUUCAAAAUUAUGUGAUGACUUCAUGGGAAAAGAGAUUCACAAGAACCAGUAACAGGAAAGCUUAAAUAAGCUUGGAAAUCUUUAAACUUUCAAUAUCGAUUGAACUUUUUGCUGCAUUACCACAAGAUUCUCUAGUAAGGCUUAAUAGAGCUGAAACAGAAUUCACAAGACAGGAUUCUCACUGACUGUUACCCCUGCGUCCUCUUUCUCCUUACUGAGGGGAAAAUGCCAAAGCAAUUGGGGAAAAAAAUACUGUUUUCUCUGAAAUGAAGACUCCUCAAGAUCCUGUUGCUGGAAUGAGUAUUGGACUCUUCGGUCUACUUCUACAGUCACCAGUACAUCUGGCAUACACUAUGAUGCCCAACAGUAGGAAGAUGAAAGAAAUGUAGAUGUUGGCAUUUCUAAAAGAGAUGUUGUAUCUUUUUUCCUACUUAAUAGACUAUUAGGCUAUAAAUCUCAAUCUUGGCCAGCAAAUGUGUUUGCCAGCUUUUCUUUAUUCUUUUUAAUUUUUUUGAGGAUCAGCAUGGAAAAACAAUUUGCGCAAGGCUCAAGAAGAUGAGAUGGUCUUAUAAACAGUAAUUGAAAUAUGUAUAUUUUUUAAAAGUCUGUUUCAAAUUUCAAACCUUAUUUUAAAAACUAUGUGAAAGCCUCUUGUGAAACUCAACUGAAGUAGGCAUGGCUGAGUCCAGAGGAGCAGUGUGGAGGAUUAGAAAAAUAAACAGGCAGGAGUCAGACAGUCCUGGAUUCAAAUCCCACUUCUAGGCCUUAGAGAAAUAAUAUAAUAGUAGGGGAUAAUAAUAUUCACCCUGAAGAGUGCUGUAGGGAUCAUCAAUAUUUCAUAUAAAGCAUGUCAUAUGGGCAGUGCUCAAUGAAUGGCAAUGCUUUUGCCCAGGUAUAGAACUUCUUAGUAUAAAAGUUUUGUCUUUCAGAAAAUUAACAAAGAUAUUCAGGACCGGAAUUCAGCUCUGGAUCAAGUAGACCUGAUAGAUAUCUACAGAACUUUCUAUCCCAAAACAACAGAAUGUACAUUUUUCUCAUUGCCACAUGUCACUUACUCUAAAAUCGAUCACAUAAUCGGAAGUAAAACACUCCUCAGUAAAUGCAAAAGAACUGAAAUCAUAACAAACAGUCUCUCAGACCACAGUGCAAUUAAAUUAGAAUUCAAGAUUAGGAAAUUCAGUCAAAACCACACAACUACAUGGAAAUUGAACAACCUUUUCCAGAAUGACUCUUGGGUAAAUAAUGAAAUUAAGGCAGAAAUCAAGAAGUUCUUUGAAACUAAUGAGAAAAAGAGAGAAUGUACCAGAAUCUCUGGGACGCAGCUAAAGUAGUGUUAAGAGGGAAAUUUAUAGCACUAAAUGCCCACAUCAAACAGCUGGACAGAGCUCAAGUUGAUAACCUAACAUCUUAACUAAAAGAACUUAGAGAACCAAGAGCAAAUAAACCCCAAAGCUAGCAGAAGAUAAGAAAUAACCAAGAUCAGAGCUGAACUGAAGGAGAUAGAGACACAAAAAAUCCUUAAAAAAAUCAACGAAUCCAGGAGCUGUUUUUUGAAAAAAUUAAUAAAAUAGACAACUAGCUAGACUAACAAAUAAGAAAAGAGAGAAGAGUCAAAUAAACACAAUGAAAAAUGAUAAGGGGGAUAGUACCGCUGACCCCAUAGAAAUACAAACAACCAUCAGAGAA